rnacentral:tRNA from 1 species
GCCCUCGUCGUUCAACGGAUAGGACGCUAGCUUGCGGAGCUGGUAAUGUAGGUUCGAUUCCUGCCGGGGGCACAA